AAAGGACAAAAAUUACCAUUGAACUUUGAAGCUAGGCCUAAAGCAAAGAAUUAAAGAGUCUCUGAUUACAUAUUUCACUAAGGAUUCUAGAUGAGACACUUAGAACUCCUUAUGAAAUAUGCAAUAUUUCUUUCUGCUAUCUCUCUGUUGUCUUCUCUGACCUCUGUCAACAGAGGCUUGGCUCAGGCCUAUUCACCAUAGGCCUUGUUCUUGCCAAUCCUGCUUCAUUGGCUCAAGAGAUGGACACAAAGGGAUUGAUGAUGUCAAGACUGAAGAGCUCCGUGUGGUCUGGCCACAUCUUGAUUAAUCAAGAUGGCAGAGGCAAAGCAGCUGAAAAGAUCAUCCAUACACUGCUCCUACUGGCCCUUGGGAGCCAUGGUGACUGCCCUACCUUGUCCUGCUUGAGUCUGCCGAUCUCAAAUGCUCUGUAAGGCAACUGCGGCAGCUCCACCGGUGGAGGGAAAGACUAAGGGAGUCCUCCAGCAACUGUUCUGGGCAAGGAGCGGCCCAGAAAGCCCACGCAGAUCAAAAGAAAAGCAACAGAAAGCUCGUGGUGUUCCUCUGCCUCAAAGGCCAAACGUCUGUGGGUUUUUUGUCUUGGCUGCCGACCGCAGCACGUCACACUGUUUGAAAUUUGCAGCUGCGAUCAUUUAUCUUCAGGGGACAGGGGUGGUAGGUGGCCGUGGUCCUGGGGAGACCCCGGGAGACCCUCCCAGCGCAUGACAUGAGUGUAGCUGCCGUCCAGCCCUAGGUCCUGUCUUCCUGGAUGAGGAAAUACCGUGCGGGGUCUGGAAGGGGAGGCUGCACGCAGCCCUCAGGGAGAGACACAGCACCAAACGCCUUGGACGCCAUGAGUCCCAGCCCUGCCUCUCACGAUCGUGAGGCUGUGGGGAGCAACUCGGCCUUCCUCAAUUCCAGUUUCUUCAUCUGUAAAAAGGGAAAAUCCUGGUACCCACUGCAUAAGAUUGAGGAUAAAAUUAGACUCUGCAGGUAAAAUGCUUGGCACACAGUAGACUCUCAAGACAUGGCAGCUGAUGCCAGAGUCGGGGAGCUGUCCUGCCUGCAGGGCAGUGUUUCAGGAGGAAGCGUGCUUCUUGGGGCUCCGGAUGCCGCCAGCAAUGUUUACGAAACUAGACAAGUCCACUUAUUCAAUUUACAAAAAGCAACAUGUUUACAAGCCCCUCCAUAGCUUUGGAUCUAAAGGCGGAAAAGUGCCUGGACACCAGCGUUAGUCUGGAGAGAGGGAAUUCUUCUCAGGAGCCACGGAGCAGGGACCCAUUCCUAAACCAUUCCCGCUUUUCCUCCAGGAAAUGGGUGCAAGACAAGGAAAGCCAUGGCCUGGAUUGUUACGUAGAAGCAGCUGGGACACAGUGUUCCCUGGGGCAUCUGGGGACAGUGGUGCCUGUAACUGUCCCCUGGCCAUGGGGUGCAGCCCCCGCCACCCCUCCCUGAGUGCCCAGGGCCAGUCCAUCCUCCAUGCCACAGCCAGGGCCGGCUGGCCAUGCCCCA
rnacentral:lncRNA from 10 species